UGUCAGUAAAGGGAAAGAGGGGUGGGGUCUUGAUUAGGUAGAGCGCGCUUCUGGGCUCCGGUGUCACGUGCAGGAGGCGGGAGAGUCACCUGAUUAGGGAGAACCGGUCUUCUGAGCCACUUCCGCCCUCACUGGUUGCCGUGGUAACAGGCCUCCGGUGGAGGGCGGGGACCCUCGGAAGCCAGCUGGGUGGCGAUCGCUUGUCUGCCUUGGCAGGCCCCUUGUGCAGUCUUUUCCCGGCGUGAGCGUGCAGGGAUUGAAAAGGAAUGCUUUAUGGUUCAGCAGAGAGCCACCACGCAGGAUGCACUGGGACCUGAGAACCGUCGGGCAGUCCCACGAGCUCUUUCAUGACCAGCUCCAACCGACAAGUACACGCCCCUUCGCACUCCACUAGCUAGUAAGCUGAGCUACAAGGUGUGCCAGGCACCCAGGACGCCGAUUCACCGCUUCAGUGAAGGCCCAGCUCAAAUGCCACCUCUUCCAUGAAGACUUCCGUGAUCCACAAUGAUAGCAUCUCCAGCAAUUGCUUCUAUAAUGAAUAGCAUGAGUCAUUCUGCAGGAUGUUGAUCUUCCUUUUUUUACUCCUAGACUGAAUUUUUCCACCACCUGGAUGAACAUAGCAGAAAGAACAUAGUGUUUUAGAGUCAGACACAAUAGGAAUCAGGCACUUUGGAAUCUUGGCUCUACCACCUUUGAGCUAUGUAUCCCAAGAGCCCUCUUUCUUCCAUUCACUUACCUGUCUAGUCAAACACCCAUCAGACCUUUGCCAGGUGUCCAGCCUGGGCACUACGUUUCAGAAAAUGAUGCACAUAGAAUCCCUAACUGAAAGGAGAUCGCAGCUCAUUUGGUACAAAGUGCUUUUAGCCUGGGUAAGGAGCUGGAGAGAUGUGAAAAUGUGGAAAGCAAGCCUAAGUCGCAGUGUGGCCUAUGCCUGAGAGCCAUCUUCAGUGCCCCCUUGUGGCUGUAUCUGGGAACCACAGACAGAAUCAUGGAACUGACCAUCUUCAGUCUCAAAGUGCUGCCCUCACCACUACACCCAGGGGCAGGUGGUCUUCGGGGGAAAGGCGGUUCCAGUUCCUUCUCCCAAGCCAGUGAGGAAGUCAAUCCUGCGAACAACUGCAGGAACGGCCUUGGGAGUGGAUCCUUCCUCAGCCCGGCUCCAAGACAACUGCAGCCCUGUGAGAAACCCUGAGUGGAGGACCAAGCCAAGCCUCAAAUCGUGACUUGGAACUGGGAGACAACAGAUGCUGUUGGAAGCCACUGAGCUCUGAAGUAGUUUGUUACACAGUGACAGAAUCUAGGAUCUGGGGAAGGUAAACUGAGGCCACCAGUAAGCAUGUGCUCCAGGCCAAGGCUGAGUCUGUGCUGCAUCCAUGUCAUCAGCCACCCAAGAAAAACCAGUUACUCCACCUAGCUCAUGGUGGCGGCAUCCUCCCUGCAAUGGUGCAUGGGGGGCAGUCCUUUCCCCUGCAGGGUGUCAUUGCCACCCCCAUCCUCAUCCUGGAGGCCAGUCCAGGCUCCGAUAUGAGUGACUAGGGGUGAGGUAGGGGUGGCAGAAGGGAGAUCAAACUGGAGCAUUCCAGAUGCCUACUACUGCCCUCACACAACGGGGCAACUGUGCUCUCCAACUCCUCCCCUUGGCAGAGAAACUGGUCCUGCAGUUUCAGGACUAGACGAGCGUGGGGUAGUGGCAAUAAAGGGGCUUGUAUGAGAAGUG
rnacentral:lncRNA from 10 species